rnacentral:lncRNA from 1 species
GGCAGUUCCAAUAGGUGGGAUCCCAGUAGGUGGGAUGAACCUCGCUUAUCCUCUAGAGAUGUUUCCCUCUACCCAGUGACCUUUGAGGAAAUCCUGACAACCUGUACGCCAGUAGGAGCAGUCUGGAUGUGCCAGCCAAGAUAUAGCAUGUGCAUGGUAUUGGUACAGGGUAUUUUAGCUCAUGUGGAAGAUAAGUCAAAUACUAUUUUUAGCAACCUUUAUUGAUUCCUGUAUAAUUUCCCUUGCUCUUCCUGUGGAAGUUCCUUCCUUUCCAGUAACACUACCAUUUGAAGUAGCACAUCAAUCCUUAUUAUAUGUCAAACUUUACUUUUUUUUCCCCAAGCCUCAGCAUGAUGCGGAAACUCUUAAACACAGAGUCUUCCUGUAAUUUACACACCCAGCCGUAUGCGUAAUUCAAAUAAGAUGUGGAGGCGGGUGCCGAGACACCAGGACAGUGAGCUAAAGCAGGCUCAGGGAGGAUGCAGAUUCCAGGAGCCUCACGUCAGCAGAUGUGCCAGAGGAAUUCCUGCCUCCACCAACCCUGCGCAUCCACGCCUGAGGGAAGAGAGAACCAGGCAUGUGUUGCACAAAGCUUCCCCAGCUGCCAGUCUUGACAAGAGUCGAAACAAAGGCAAAAAAUAGUUGUAUGUUUUAAAAGUGUAUUUCAGUUACCUUUUAAAUCCCAAAUAAUCUUCUUAUUCAGAGGUGAAAUCUGAUCUGGCAGACAUUUCAGCGCCAGACCAUCUUUUCUGCUGACUUCAGGAGACUUAAAGAAACUUUUCAUCCAAAAUUAUUAAUUUCAAAUAGGCACUUGGCAUAGUAUUUUUCCUCUGAGACUGACAUUACAUUAUUUUACUCACUCUGGUACUUUCUAUCCAUGUCCUCAUUGAAGCCCUGUCUGUGAAAUACCUACUGCGCUUUGUUACAUGUUGGUGAAGACUGGUGUUUUCCUCUGUAAACAAAUGCAAGUACCUACAUAACUCUUAGUGUGUCUCUCCUUGACUUCAU